AACGCACAUUGCGCCCGCCAGCACUCUGGCGGGCAUGCCUGUCCGAGCGUCAUUUCCACCCUCGGGCCCCCCGGGGGGCCCGGUGCUGGGGGCACGGCCCAGGCCGCCCCCGAAAUGCAGUGGCGACCCCGCCGCGUCCUCCCCUGCGCAGUAGCACAAUCUCGCACCGGAAGCGCGGAGGCGGUCACGCCCGUAAAACGCCCCAACGCAACGCAGUUGACCUCGGAUCAGGUAGGAGUACCCGCUGAACUUAA
rnacentral:misc_RNA from 1 species